ACGUGGUAAGAUGCAUAAGAAAGUUUGGAUUGCCGCCGGUGAUAUCAUCCUUGUCGGACUCCGUGAUUAUCAGGAUGACAAGGCUGAUGUUAUUCUGAAGUAUAUGCCAGAUGAGGCAAGGUUGUUGAAGGCAUACGGAGAGUUACCAGAGAACACUAGGCUCAAUGAGGGUAUUGCUAAUUUGGAUGAAGAAGAUGAGAAUGCCGCUGAUGAUUACAUUGAGUUUGAAGAUGAAGACAUUGACAAAAUCUAAAAUUCCUUAUCUAAACAGUGCUAUCACUGGGGUUUCCUGUUGGCCUCACAAUUAUUUCCUUGGAGCUUGAGUUCAAUACAAAAAGAAAGAGAGACCUUAUAUGUACCAUCUUAAUAUGAUUGAACUUUGUGCACUAGUACUUCUGUAUGAAGAUUUAUGCUUUGGUGAAUUAGAUACAAUAAUAGCCACCUGUUCUCUAUUCUACUCAUGCAACUCUUGAUUUAUUAGAUGCAAUAAUAAUGUGUUGAUAAAUGAAAA
rnacentral:misc_RNA from 1 species